CUCCACUCAUUGCCAAUUGAUUU
rnacentral:siRNA from 1 species